AUCCCCCAGUCUCCAGCGGGUGGGCAGGCACCCAGCUGAAAGAGUGUUUACUUGUCUGAAUAAACGAUAUCACAUAGCCAUCAACCUGAGGCUCAGAGCACUGAGCAAGUUGAAGGAUGAGAACUGCCAACCAGAUGCCCAGACACCCAAGAGUGCAAGAGGAUUCCCAGGAUGCCAGAGCAAAUUCUGACUAGAAUUUAGUUUAGUACCUGAGCCUCAAUAAUAAUGACAUUUCCGUAUACCAGACACUUUGUAUCCAGCCUGUGAACCAGCUGGAAGGGCAUGCAGAGGGUCAGUAGCAUGUCACAGCUUGCUGGCUCCCAUCUCCCGUAGCCUCACAGUGCUGCCAAGGGCCAUGCAGGCACCGAGCCUCCUUCACGCAUUACAUACGAGACGACAGUGAAGGUCAGAGAGAUGGUUCAGAGGGCAAGGACACAAGCCUGAUGACGUAAGUUCAGAUCCCCAGAACCCACAUAAAUAGCCAGAGGCAGGAGGGUGUGUGUCUGUAAUCCAGUGCUCCCCUGCCUGGAGAUGGGGGCAGAGACAGGAGAAUUCCAGAAGCCCAGUGGCCAGCUAGGCUGGCGUAUGCAGCAACAAAUAAGAAAGGCCUAUCUUAAACACACACAAAUAAAAAGAGCCAGCGGUAACUGCCGUGGUCAGUAGAGUUAGGGAAGAAAGGCCCUGGAGGAAAGCCACACAGCAGAUGUGGGGCUGACAGACAAACAGAAAGGUGUCUGGUCCCAGAGUGCCAAGUAGUGCAGGUAGGCAGGAGAUGCGGCCAGGGCCUUCUGGGAGGGAGGCUUUACCCUCUGGACAGUGAGAGCCGUGCAAGUUCAGAACAAGAUGUUCAUUUGUCUGUGGUGACUGUGACAGGAUGGAUCUGUCACAAAAGUCACCUCACCUCGUCAAGCUCUCCUGUUUCCAAGGAUAGUUUGGGCAUUUUCUCUGGCAGGUGAACCCUCCUGGAGAGAACGAUCAGGCUCGGUUCUCCUGAAUCUUUACAAGCCUUCUUCAGGGCCUAGGGCUGAGAGUAGGACGCUGCCAAGCUGGGAAACCUGAGGCCGUGGAAGACAGCAGCCACCUUCUUCCCUCAGUUUCCCUUCUAGAUCUUGGUGACCCAGGGGCAGUGUCCAGCCCACAGGCAUGUUAAUGUGACAGGUGACACUGUGUGUUCCUCUCUGGUGGCUCUGAGUCCUUGUGUGCACCUCGGAAGUUGGGACUUCACACUUCCCAGCAGGCGCUCAGGUUCUCUUGACUCGAUGGAAGACACGGUGUUGCCCUGACCUCUCGUGGGCGUAUCCACACACUACCCAGACAGGGCCAUCCUCCCCAGCCCCCUGGUGCCUGCAUCUUCCCAGGAUUGCCCGACAGCAAAGCAGACUAUUGGUACCCGCCACCUGCCACAGCCGCUAUUCAUGUAUGGUCACCCACUGGCUCCCUCCCGCAUUCACAUGGCCCUUAAUCCUCUGUUAGCAUCAGAGUCUGUGGGGGCCAGGAGGGCUGUGCCCUCUCCUCUGCUCAGCACUCUGGGGGCCACAGAGUCAGCAUGUCUGUGCAAGGCGAGCAGUCGGGGCCCGGAGACCUGUAGCCAGAAGAAUGUCCCAGCCACCUAAUUCCCACCAGACCAGAAACUCCGAGAACGCCAGAACAUUCUGUCCCCACUCUUAGGAACCUCCCAGCUUUGAGGAGCUGACAGGCCCAACAUUCUGGUCAAUAAAACUGACAUACCUGAGGCAGGGCCGCAUCUGUCGGGGCCUCAUAAAGAAGCCCCAGCAAGUCGAGAAUGUGGUGCAGAGGCGGGCACUGCUUGGCAGCACACUCACCCAGAAGAAUAAAGUCAUUAGGUUUCCAGGAA